UUCCAUCGCUAAGUCAAGGCUUCUUCCUACGACUCAUGUCGUGCUCUGCUCAAUGGAGGUCUGUCUGUUACAGCUUUGGUAGAUCAACACUGUCCCGCACCGAAUUUCUUUCUGAAGCUAGGUUGACGGGUCUUCGUCUUGAAGGCCUGUCGUAAGGGACGGCUGUGCUUUGUUUUUGAGUUGAGUUCUGCCUCUGCCUUUUUUGGUGGCUCAGUGGUAGAACUCUUAGUAACAUCCCACACAUUC
rnacentral:snoRNA from 1 species